rnacentral:snRNA from 1 species
UUACAGUACCUGGCAGGGGAGACACCUUGAUCACGAAGGAGGUUCACACCCAGGGCGAGGUUUGGCCAUUGCACUCUGGAUGAGCUGAUCCCUCGAAUUCUCUACUGCAUAAUUUGUGGUAGUGGGGGACUGUGUCCGCACUCAUACACCCCAU